rnacentral:rRNA from 1 species
CUUACAUCUCUUCGGAGCAUUUUACGUAGGUGCUGCAUGGUUGUCGUCAGCUCGUGCCGUGAGGUGUCGGGUUAAGUCCCAUAACGAGCGCAACCCCUACCUUUAGUUGCCAUCAGGUUAAGCUGGGGACUCUAAAGGAACUGCCUACGCAAGUAGUGAGGAAGGCGGGGAUGACGUCAAAUCAGCACGGCCCUUACGUCCAGGGCUACACACGUGCUACAAUGGCCGAUACAGAGGGCAGCUACCUGGUGACAGGAUGCAAAUCUCCAAAGUCGGUCUCAGUUCGGAUCGGAGUCUGCAACCCGACUCCGUGAAGUUGGAUUCGCUAGUAAUCGCGCAUCAGCCAUGGCGCGGUGAAUACGUUCCCGGGCCUU